GGAUCAUUGUCGAGAUCGAACGGAAGAACGACCCGCGAAUCGUCAUUGCGUAGUAGACAGAGCCCGUGAGCACCUAACGCUCACGGGUCUCGCGUCGCGUCGGCGCGGGUGUACUCGAGACCCGCGUCGUACCGGCGGACAAACAACGUCAGCACGGAUCGUGCCAAGGAGCAGCAUGGAGAGAAUCGUCGUCCCCCGCCUUUGAUAGUCCUCGACGCGGGACGGGGGAUGUACGCAAUCUCUACUCAAAAGUCUAAACGACUCUCGGCAACGGAUAUCUCGGCUCUUGCAUCGAUGAAGAACGUAGCGAAAUGCGAUACUUGGUGUGAAUUGCAGAAUCCCGUGAACCAUCAAUUCUUUGAACGCAAGUUGCGCCCGAAGCCAUUCGGCCGAGGGCACGCCUGCCUGGGCGUCGUGAAUCCCCUUGCCCCUAGGCACCCGCAUGAGCAUUGGCGGGGACAUAUGCUCGGGCGCAGAAUAUGGUCUCCCGUGGGAUCGGCAUGCACGGCAUGUCGAGGUGCGGUUGGCCGAAAAUCGAGCAUGGCGGUGACGGGCACCACGGCGUUCGGUGGAUCGAAUGAGAUUGGCUGCGUCGUGGGCUCGGCAUGCGGCGGGCUCCGGACUUUGAAUAUCCCCGAGUGCGAUCCCAGGUCAGGCGGGGCUACCCGCUGAGUUUAAGCAUAUCAAUAAGCGGAGGAAAAGAAACUAACGAGGAUUCCCUUAGUAGCGGC
rnacentral:rRNA from 1 species